GUGUGCAGAGCUCAGUGGUUGAAGCAUCCCUCCAGAGGUGGUCAUGGGUUUGAAUCCCAUUGCACACA
rnacentral:tRNA from 1 species